rnacentral:rRNA from 1 species
AAAAACAUGUCUUAUAGUAUAUUAAUUUUAAGUUUAACCUGCUCAAUGAAUUUUUUUAAAUUGCUAUAGUAUUUUGACUAUACAAAGGUAGCAUAAUAAUUUGUCUUUUAAUUGGAGGCUUGUAUGAAUGGUUGGACGAGAGAUAAUCUUUCUUAAUUUAAAUUUGAUUUUGAAUUUAGCAUUUUUGUAAAAAGGCUUAAAUGUAGUUGUGGGACGAGAAGACCCUUUAGAAUUUUAAUAGUUAUAUUAAAAUAUUAAUGUAGUUAUAUUAGAUAAUAUUUUAAUUAUUUUAUUUUUGUUGGGGUGAUAGUAGAAAAGAUUUAACUUCUAUUAAAUUAAUUUUUCAUUAAUUAAUGUGUUAAUGAUCCUGUUUAUAUGGAUUAAAAGAUUAAAUUACCUUAGGGAUAACAGCGUUAUUAUUUUGGAGAGUUCAUAUUGAUGAAAUAGUUUGCGACCUCGAUGUUGGAUUAAAGUUAGUUUUAUAGUGCAGAAGCUUAAUAACUAGGUCUGUUCGACCUUUAAAUCUUUACAUGAUCUGAGUUC